rnacentral:rRNA from 1 species
UAGUCCACGCCGUAAACGAUGGACACUAGUUGUUGGAAUUAUUCAGUGACUAAGCGAAAGUGAUAAGUGUCCCACCUGGGGAGUACGAUCGCAAGAUUGAAACCCAAAGGAAUUGACGGGGGCCCGCACAAGCGGUGGAGCAUGUGGUUUAAUUCGAUGAUACGCGAGGAACCUUACCAGGGCUUAAAUGUAGUGGGACAGGUCUAUAGAUAGACCCUUCUUCGGACUCAUUACAAGGUGCUGCAUGGUUGUCGUCAGCUCGUGCCGUGAGGUGUCAGGUUAAGUCCUAUAACGAGCGCAACCCUUGUCGUUAGUUGCCAGCAAGUAAAGUUGGGGACUCUAGCGAGACUGCCGGUGCAAACCGAGAGGAAGGUGGGGAUGACGUCAAAUCAUCACGGCCCUUACGUCCUGGGCUACACGCGUGCUACAAUGGUAUGGACAAUGAGCAGCCACUAUGCGAAUAGGAGCGAAUCUACAAACCAUAUCACAGUUCGGAUCGGAGU